rnacentral:rRNA from 1 species
AACGAACGCUGGCGGCAUGCCUAACACAUGCAAGUCGAACGAGACCUUCGGGUCUAGUGUCGCACGGGUGCGUAACGCGUGGGAACCUUCCUUUAUGUUCGGAAUAACUCAGAGAAAUUUGUGCUUAUACCGGAUGAUGUCUUCGGACCAAAGAUUUAUCGCCUUUAGAUGGGCCCGAGUUGGAUUAGCUAGUUGGUGGGGUAAAGGCAUACCAAGGCGACAAUCCAUAGCUUGUCUGAGAGUAUGAUCAGCCACACUGGGACUGAGACACGGCCCAGACUCCUACGGGAGGCAGCAGUGCGGAAUAUUGGACAAUGGGCGAAAGCAUGAUCCAGCAAUGCCGCGUGAGUGAUGAAGGCAUUAGAGUUGUAAAGCUCUUUUAACCGAGAUGAUAAUGACAGUAUCGGGAGAAUAAGCUCCGGCUAACUCCGUG